GGCCCCUUAGCUCAGUUGGUUAGAGCAGGCGACUCAUAAUCGCUUGGUCACUGGUUCAAGUCCAGUAGGCCACCA
rnacentral:tRNA from 1 species